rnacentral:lncRNA from 1 species
GAUCACGGAGGAGAACCCGCUGUUCCUAGGGGCCUGACGCACGGUCGAUCACAAGUCCUCCAACGGGUGGAGCUGGUUCAGGUACCACGGGCACUCUCCACGACAAGCAGGUUCCAGUUGUGCAAAGUCUGCCCGCUACUGCUAUUCGUACUAUCCCCCUAGCAAAAUAAAUUUAUCUGAUGCCUCAACAGCUCACACUUCUGCAUGUCACCCAUUUAUUUAGUGUAGGUCUGGGGAAUUUUUUAAGUUGUUGUCUAUAACUUCAUGUUUUUCCUUGUGAAAUAUCUUCAUGUUUUUUAGAUUACAUAAAUUUUUUAACGUUGGAUUUUUGUAUGUCUUGGUUUCUACAUUUCUGAAACUGAAAGCUAUUAUCGCCGGGCAGAAAUAUAAAUUUCUUUUGUUGCUAUCGCGUGUUUAAUCCCUCCGCCCUAAAAUAAGUGUCGCUGAAAAGGGGUAGUUGUUUCUCACAAACAGUGCUAUUUCAGUCUCAGAAUCUAAACUGUCUUCUAAGGUUCUAACAAACUCUGAUCACCACCUUUAUGAAUAUGCUACACAAAUUAAGGAUAUUGUUAAGAUCUUUAUUACCUUGACUUUUUUAGUUCACUGUUCGCAGACUCACCAAUUUUGGCGGCCCCAACAAUUAUGUUCCGAAAAUUACAGUUAGCUGCUCAAUUGAAAACCUUACCAGUAAUAGAACUAAAUUGUAAUAUUGUGACUAUAGUGUUGCUAGAGAACUGAUCGACAGAGUAAAGACAAGUAUGCUUCCUCCUCCCUGCAGCUUAAGUCAUUUAGUCCAUAUUUAUAUGUUAGAGCCUAGAGGUGAUGUUUUUGUGGGAAACGUUUUACAACCAAUCAAGGUUUUGGUUACCGGUCGAAAUUUCGAGAUUUACCAUGGUUACCGCGUAUUUCCGUGCCCCUCGGUAAAUCCACGUACCAAGCAAAAAAUACCAGUUAUUUGAAUUUUUUGAAUUUAAACACUCGAUUUAUAGUAAAGUACAUAGAAUCUAAUUAAUACCAUGAGAGUUGGUUUUGGCUUGUUGGUCGGAACCUAGUUCCUGUUUUGAGAGGUCUUUGGUUCAAAUGUUCUUCAUUAACUUAUUUGAAUUCAAAAUUCAACUAUAAAAUUCGUUCGGAAUAUUCUCGGUAUUUUUCGGUAUUUCUCGGUAACCGUGGUAACCGCGUUUUCCAGUCCCCCUCGGUAAAAAUGCCUCAUUCGGUAACCAAAACCUUGCAACCAAUAUCCUAUAACCUGUAUUUGACACUAUAUUCCGAGUCUGCAAAUCAUGCUCAGGGUUAAAAUAGAAUUGUCCGUUUCUACAACAUAAUGGAUGCUUUUACUGUUCGAAAUUUGCAUUAGUAGUUGAUAUAGUGAUUAGAUCAACCUUGCAGUACUAAUGAGCUCCUUUUAGCCUUGCUUAUAUGGUUAGCUUUUGGAAAUAAUUGAUCAUGUUUUCCUCCGUUGGAUCAGAAAACUAGAAGUAGGAUAUGUCUAAGCUAAGAGUGGUUUUAGAUCAUAGCAUCACACAAGAAAGGCUCCAAUCCCCUUCUAGAUAUACAUGUUUGUCCUAUAUGUUCUCUUUGUAAUUCUUAUGAUUUUUAGUAGAAUAGAGAGUUCUUAAGUCUUCAAAUUAGCAUAUGUGGACAUUUGAUUGAAUCAACUCCUCCUUUUAGUUGAAAGAGGAAGCAUAGUAAAUGCAUUUUUUGUGUCUUCUACUCAGUUAGACUUGCUCAAUCCUAACUUGACGAUUUUCUAGGAUUUGACACAUCUCCACUUGCAAGGCUACAACCAGAUAUAGUCCUUUAGAUUGAUUAAUUACACACACGUGCAAGGAAACAUAUCACUUGAAAUGUGUGAUUUGCAUCGAGAAGAACACCGAGAUAGGAUCAGAGCAUGCGCACUGCUUUAUAGUCUACAUCAACAAACCGUUGGCGAGCAUGUUGAGACCAUGAGCCCACGUGGGACCUCCAGAGAACUUGAAAAUCACCGACAUUGCCAGCAAGGUUGUGGUGAAUUAAAGGUAUGUACAAUUUGCAUUGGCGCUUGCGUAUAUUUUCUCUGAAGAUGACCAUAAUUGUGUCAUGCCACUUGUUGUUCUUCAGCAGAGAUUUAAUCAAUCCAGAGAUGUUGUAAAUUGAUACAAUUGAACCACAUACUUGGAGAGACGAUGCCGUUGACUUCCGCAACAAUGAGCAAGGUGGCGAAUACCUGCUAGAGAGUGGAGAACUUCUAGCACCACUCGACAGCCAGAUCAUCAACCAUGUAAGGUAUGAGGGCAUACAACACCCAUGAUUGUAUUUUCUGUAUUCGUCCGUUCUUCUCAAUCGUGUAUGACCAGCCAAGUACUUUUUUUUCUAUAUUACAAUAUUUUGGAAAAUAUAAGAAGAUGCCAGUAAUUCAACACAUGCAACUUCCAUUGUAUAAAAGCUUCAUAUAUUUGAACAGUCAAACUUUAUCAAUAUCUGCAAAUAACACUCAUGUACUCAAUAUCAUGCCUUUGCAUGAAGAUUAAAAGAAGAGAUAAGGUGAACCACAUGGCAAGAUCUCAAAUAACCGAAUAUGCUGCAUAUAUAAAAUGGCUAGAUAUGCAAUCCAACAAGGUAUACAUCUGUUCUAAUCAUGCAUAUUUCGCAGGGGCUAUAUGUAAGUUAAACCUCCUGAAUAUAUUUGUGAGAAAUAAAAAUACAUGUCCCCGAUGAGUGCUGAGAGGUCUAUUUGAAGAUAUAUAAAAAGUAGAAGUGACUUCUAAUAACAAUUUAAAGUUCACAAAAAACUUUAAAAUACUCAUAUGACAAAUACUUGAGUAGAGAUUUGAAUGUGAUAGAACAUUAUUAAAAGCUCCAUUUAACAUCUUCGUCCUGCAUAUUAAAAUGUACAAUAUUAUGUUUGCGCUUAGCAUUCUUUAUGUAGGUCCAUCCGGUCCAUGUUUGAUUUUUUCCUGAAUUUAUUUAUGAUACAACUCUGGCUGCAUGUUUGAUUCUAACAUAUUAUGCCCUCUUUAUGUAGGUCCACUGGGUCCAGAUGUGCAAGGCAAACAUGCAGAGGUCUUCGAGAGGCUUGUGCAGACGGAGCUUACAGGCAGAUCCAAGCGGAUACACCAGCCAUAGCUGGCCCUAUGCUUGGUGGCGGCAUUUAUGAGCCUGAGCUUGACAUGAACGUGAGGUAUAGAUGAUUGACGAAGAACGACUUUGUUGUAUCCAUCGACGCCAUACCCUUUGCCAAAACAAACGACCUUCUCUUGUGUCCAUGAACUUUUGUUAGCGUUUAGUGAAUCAUGCAAUAGCUACAAGAUAGCUUGUUGGGGAGUUUCCCCGGUGCUGGUGUUACAUGUAUGUACUUUGUGUCUGAAAUGGAUGGAUGGGUGUUGUACUGCUGCUGAGAAAGGAUGGAGGGAGGAAAGGAGGAGUACUUGCAUCUUUAAUUUUAUCUUGCAAGUUUCUGCCUUCCUAAAAAUACUAGAUUUGAUAUUCAAUCAUAUACGAGUAUUCAUGAAAGAACUUGCUUUCUUUUCU